rnacentral:rRNA from 1 species
CAGCCGCCGCGGGAAUACGUAGGGUGCGAGCGUUAAUCGGAAUUACUGGGCGUAAAGCGUGCGCAGGCGGUUGUGUAAGACAGGUGUGAAAUCCCCGGGCUUAACCUGGGAACUGCGCUUGUGACUGCACAGCUAGAGUAUGGCAGAGGGGGGUGGAAUUCCACGUGUAGCAGUGAAAUGCGUAGAGAUGUGGAGGAACACCGAUGGCGAAGGCAGCCCCCUGGGCCAAUACUGACGCUCAUGCACGAAAGCGUGGGGAGCAAACAGGAUUAGAUACCCCCGUAGUCCCUGUCUCUUAUAC